GAGAAGCAGCUUAAAUAGCCUGCUUCUCCCCUCAUUUGGGGCACUCUCAGCCAUGUGGCUCGUGCCGGGAGGGAGCAGAGUGAGAGACAGUCGCGGGAGAAGCCGGGAGCGGGAGCCACGCUGACCUCACCGACGGACCGGACCCGGAGACCCCUCACCCAUUUUUACCGCGUUAAAGACUUUUUGAAGUAAAGAGGAGCAUCUCAUCUGAACCUGAUGUCUAUCAUGGAAAUUUAACUGCAAUUCUGUGAGUAUCCCAACUUAACCAUGAAGAUGAACUGCAAACUGUAAGUCAAAAGUUUCUCAUUACUCUUGGGCACAUUGAUGUAUUUUGGCUUCCUGGUAGGAAUGCGCGAUAUACGAUAUAAACGAUAAAAAAUGGCCUACGAUAAAGAUUUUAGUUAUAUUGCUCUAUCCAUGACCUGCGAAAUUUAAAAAGAGCCACGAGCUGCAACCAGCUGCAUUGCAUCAUCCGUGACCCGCGAAAUUUAAAGAGCCACGAGCUGCAACCGGCUGCAACGCAUCGUCCGCGACCCGCAAAAUUUAAACAGCCACGAGCUGCAACCGGCUGCAACGCAUCAUCCGAGACCCGUGAAAUUUAAAGAGCCUUGAGCUGCAACCAGCUUCAACGCAUCAUCGUCAUCUAAGCAAAUAUGGCUGAAAGCGACACGGAGGAGCUGGUGAUUGCGCUCAUUUCCUGUUCAUUUUAAAAUUGUAUGCGUUCACUUUGCACUUUUAUGUUUUAAUAUCAAGUAUCUGUGCACACACUUGGAAGAUUUUUCUUUAUUUAAAAUAGCCCUGCCUAAUACUGGCCGUAUUUCCCUAAUUCACAGUAUCUGUUUCUUUAUUAUUUGAGUUUUAUACAUUUAGCAGUUUGGCUUUCCUUAGUCUUAUGUAACCUGUUCUGAAAUGGUUAUAUUAUGAUUUAUAUAUCGUUAUCGCAAUGGGUUGCAAUGUUUAUCGCAAUAUGGAUUUUAGGCCAUAUCGCCCAUCCCUACUUCCUGGUGAGUUAACCCGUUACCUGAAGGUUGAUCUGAGUAGUAAGGAUGUUUUAUUGGUUCAUGGGUUACUUAGGAGUUUGGUUUAUGUUGGUUUUAAUGAUUUGUUGAAAUGGUUACGGGCUCAAAGUUAUUGUUGUAAGAUGGAGUAAUGGGUUGGGUUCUGAUGUCUUUGUCUUCUUUCCAUUACUCUCCUGAGCUCUGCAUCUUCAUCACAUGUGUUGCUUUACUGAUGAGGGUGUGGUCUGAGUGAGCGGAGGUGCAUACUGGGAUACAGAGCUGUCUGAAGUCUACAGGUCUGUAGACACGCCCCCUCAGGGGAAACCGAGUGUUUGAGAAACCGUUGUGACGUCAGUUACAUGGACUAGAAUGUUCUUUAAGAUGGAGACAGGGAUUCAGAAGGAGAAACACCAGGGGGAGAUGAAGGGGCUCCUCAUCUCAACAGCUAAAACACAACUUCAGUCUGACACAGAGAUCCAUGGAACACAUUCAACAGUCCCCUCCAGACAUCGUGACUCCUCAGGAACAGUUUCAUUUCCAAGAAGGUCUAAAUUGUGGCCUUUACAAGAUGGAUCCUGCUCCUCAAGAGCCACCCCCCUCCACUGGGUGGUCUUCUGAACAGAUGACCUCCUUCCUGUCCUCAGGCUGACUAAAGCUGCACCAUUUGCAUCUGUGAACGUUGAAUCAACCUGGGACACAUUUUGGAGACGCCAAGCAUAAUCCAUCACCAAUGUGGGACGCCACUGAAGAAUGUUGUGCAUAAUUUACUUCUCUGGAGACAUUGGUUGUUCUGUUCUGGGUGCCCUGGCAGGAGAGCUGGGGUUGGAUUAUGGAAUGUUAUUUGGCAUGAGGUUUUUAUCCUGCAUGAUUGUUUGGCCUUUUAUGGUUCAGUGGUGUGUGUUUGGGUUUGUUUUGAGAUGGAUGAUUUUGGAGUAUCGCUAUAGGGUUCUACUGUGUCUCCCACUCACACCUGGCAUGGGGUUCUACGUGCGUGUGUCCGGCUUGCUUUGACAGUGAUAAUGUUCAUACGGGGGUCUGUGUGAUUGGCUUGGGAUAUUGGAAUGGUCAACUAAAUCAUACCUGAUGGACGGCCAACACCCUGGGCAGGAAGGAGAGUAUCCAACUCAAGUGUAAAAGGAUGCAAGCGGCGUGUUCAGAUCAUUGACUUCAAACUAGGACUACACCAAUCUGGAUCAAUGGAGGAUGGACACCUAAAGGAAUUCCAAAAGGAGUCUGAUGUUGGAAAGGGACCUAAAUGGAUAUUCAAGAUAACCUUCACACCUGUAAUGAGACGCCUCUUCCUACCUGGCUGGAUUGAUGGAGAGCCCUGUGGAUCUUGUCUUGCUCUCAGUUGCACGUCUUCUCAGGCUGAACUGUACUUGUUUCGGACAGGACUAGCUGAACGAUUGGUUCCCUUAAAUCAGAACCAAUCUGGGAACUCCAACUAGUGCGCUCUUCGAGCUGAAGUUGUGCUUUUCAGCUGAGGAGGUAAGGAAACCUUCACUGGGGUUUCAAGGUGUAAAGAGGAGGAUGUUUCAAAGUGUUCCAUGGUAUUCUGAUUAAGACCGUUGUUGUGUUCCACUGGCUGAGAGGAAGAACCCUCACAUCUUCCUCCUGGUCUCUCUCCGCUGAGAGUCCUGGCGCCAUCUUGAAGGAUAUUCCUGCUCAUGUAACUGAUGUCACGACAGAUUCUCAAACACUUGGUUUCUCCUGAUGGGCGUGUCUAUAGAACUGAAGACUUCAGAAAGCACUGUAUCCCAGCAUGCAUCUCUGCUCACUCGGAUCACACCCCCAUGAGUAGGAUGCAACACUCUAGUGAUGGAGAUGUAGGGUUUUAUAAGUAACGAGGGAGCAGACAAAGGUGAUUGGAACACAAUGGCAUGUCAAGUCUGUAAAUCUUUAAACCAUGAAGAUGGUUGGAUAGUUCAGGAAUUGGGCUUCUUUUUAUUAUGGGCGGUCCUUUCACUCAGAUGCCCACUUCUCACUGGACCUGUACAUGUGUUGGCUGGCUGGCAUGAUUUGCUGUUGGUGAUGAGGCGGUCAGGGUGAUGUUGCAGGGCUAUGGUCGGCUCUCUGUGAGCUCAACGUUUAGAUUUGCUCUGUAUGUUUUGUUCCUGGAAUAAUCUAGAUAAUUGUAAAAUGUAGACACUGUUUUGUAUUGAAUGAUUUUAGGUUUAAAGUUGUUGUGGGACGUACAUGGUAGUUUGGUUCUUCGUCCGGUUUUGAGUGAUAUAACUUGUGUACACUGGGUGCAUAAUAAUGUAAAGGCACACUGAAUAGUAUUAAUGACCAACCGCAACAAACAGAUCUCCUCAAGGUAAGUCUGUUGGCUGUGUUUUAAUGAAGACCAUCGCUGGACUUCAUGAUCUUCCUCCGUUCAGCUCAAGGUGAGGCGCUGGUUCUGUUUUUUCUUUGGUUGGUUCCGGCCGGAAUGUUCGGAUUCCAGUCGGACGGUUUGUGCUUCCCGCCGUGGAAGCUUCUGAGUGCGGUCACUUGAUUUAGUCCCAAUGGUUAGCAUAGAACGUUGUAGUCUUGACAACCAUAAGAAACCACCUGGCAGUUAGUAGGACGGGAGUCCCCUGAGGGAAUCUGGCGGAACGUUCUGGAUUGUAUUUGCGUAACCUCGAGCCGUUGCCAACGGAAACUAUUUUUCAGUCGUUUCCAUUGCGAAUUGUUCCCUUAUCUUAAACAACUUUAAGUUGGAUUUUAAAUACAUACUGACACGUACGUCGUACAAUAUGUUGAUAAUUUCCGAUGGUUGCAGCGUACUUUUAACCACGAUGACGUGACGGGACUCUCGCUGCGUACAAAACGGCGUUCUACUUGCGGGCCCAUUUUUCGACAUCAGUGAAGGCUGAAAAUCAUUGCAAGGUGGAAGACAAUUUGACGGAAACCAGCACCCGAAUAUGGCUGAGUAUAUUUUAUUUAAUAUCGAUGCUGCUUAGUGUUCUUUGUUACUUCAGCUUUUGUACGUUCUCAAUAUCUGCUGUCAUUAAUUGCAACAUAAGUUAAACCCUACCUAAUGAAAUGACGUUAAACAACGACUUUGGUUCAGAGUUACACUGACAAUAUCUGAUCACGGAUAAUAUCAAAGUUAAAAUAAUGGCCGUCCUUCCCACAUGUUACAGUAGAAGAUACUCUAGAACUGCACAAGGUUAAAAAGGUAACAUGUAGUUUGUCCCAAGGUGUCUGCCUCCUCACCCAGAGCAAGACCUCCACCUCCUCACCCAGAGCCAGACCUCCACCUCCUGCCAGAAGUCCUCCAGAACAGCUGAAAGGUGAGGCUGAGAGGCUGGGGACCGGAGGCUUGUGGUGCCAGGAUGGACCGGAGACUGAGGCUGGAUACCAGGGGCCUGCAGCACCGGACCAGAGGACCAGGAAACUAUGUCUGGGGGAGCCGAGCUGAUGGAGGAGCCGAGCUGAUGGAGGAGCCGAGCUGAUGGAGGAGCCGUGCUGAUGGAGGAGCCGGGCUGAAGGAGCUGAUGGAGGAGCCGUGCUGAAGGAGCUGAUGGAGGAGUCGUGCUGAGGGCCCUGCCUGGUGGAGGAGCUGGUGGAGGCCCUGCCUUGUGAAGGACGUCUCAUGGGACCAGGACUCUGUCUGAGGAGAGCUGCUGGAUUCCUCAACGUGUUUCUGGAGCGGAGGCAAGCUGGUAGGGGAGCCGUGAAUCUGGAGGAUGACCAUCACUCUACCAACAAGGAUUACGUUAGGGCCAGUCUCGCGCUGUUUGUUCCAGACCAGGACUCUGGCUGAGGUGAGCUGAUGGAGGAGCCAAGACUCUGGAGGACAACAUCACUCUACCAACCAGGAUCCUCACACACCUGAGCUGAACCUCACCUGAUCCUGUUUGGUCGGGGGUAGACACACCUGAGCUGAACCCGCCCUGAUCCUGACAUCCUGCUGGUCCCGUCUCCUCAGUUCAUCUGCGCCUCGUCCUCCAGAUGACCUGCUGAGCUCAGCAGUCUGAGGCUGAUGGAUCAAUGACCUCCAGUGGGAGUGAUCUUCUUGACCCCACAUGUAACCGUGUGCUUCCACACGCCUUUCCCUCACGUCUGUCACUAACCUCACUACUCCACUACUCUCUACUGCUUCCUCUUCUUCUUCCUUCUCUGUGGUUCGAACCUUUACACCGAAGGCGCGUCUUCCUGCCCUCAGAGGGUUUAUCGUUAGGGUUGAGAGUCAGGGUUUAGAGUCAGGGACAGAGCUGGUCAGGGAGGACUGCUUUUACACAAACCUCUUCACUUCCUGUCGGAAUGGUGGUGACAUUUCGAAAAGAUGCAUUUGGGGAAAUGUUUUCCUCUGCUUUCCUUUACAAAAUUGUAUUAAACAUCUGUCAAGUGUUUUUGUUUAUAUAUUAAAAUCCCACAUUGACUUCUACAUGUUUGGUGCGGUGGCAAGCUGGUAGGGGAGCCGUGAAUUUGGAGGAUGACCAUCACUCUACCAACAAGGAUUACGUUAGGGCCAGUCUCGCGCUGUUUGUUCCAGACCAGGACUCUGGCUGAGGUGAGCUGAUGGAGGAGCCAAGACUCAGGAGGACAACAUCACUCUACCAACCAGGAUCCUCACCAGGAAUCUGGAGGACUGAUGGAGAAGCCGUACAUCUGGAAGGCAAAUCCUGAGGACAAACAGGACUCUACCAUCAAGGAUUCCUCACACACCUGAGCUGAAUCCGCCCUGAUCCUGACAUCCUGCUGGUCCCGUCUCCUCAGUUCAUCUGCGCCUCGUCCUCCAGAAGACCUGCUGAGCUCAGCAGUCUGAGGCUGAUGGAUCAAUGACCUCCAGUGGGAGUGAUCUUCUUGACCCCACAUAACCCACGUAACCGUGUGCUUCCACACGACUUUCCCUCACGUCUGUCACUAACCUCACUACUUCACUACUCUCUACUGCUUCCUCUUUUCUUCCUUCUCUGUGGUUCAAACCUUUACACUGAAGGCGCGUCUUCCUGCCCUCAGAGGGUUUAGCGUUAGGGUUGAGAGUCAGGGUUUAGAGUCAGGGACAGAGCUGGUCAGGGAGGACUGCUUUUACACAAACCUCUUUACUUCCUUUCGGAAUGGUGGUGACAUUUCGAAAAGAUGCAUUUGGGGAAAUGUUUUCCUCUGCUUUCCUUUGCAAAAUUGUAUUAAGCUUCUGUCAAGUGUUGUUUAUAUAUUAAAAUCCCACAUUGACUUCUACUUGUUUGGUGCGGUUCAUUUAAUUGUCCUUUAAGUUGGUUAAUGUCAAGCUAAACUCCUGC
ensembl:lncRNA